UCGUACACGGGCCAGAGUGCCCCCCUGUCAA
rnacentral:tRNA from 1 species